UUCUAGGACCAGUUGGUGCGACACGCGGGUGGAGGGCGCACGUCUCAUGUGUCCCGCGUCCCCGGACACCUUCCAUGGCCCCCUAUCCUUACUGUUUGAUUUGUAGUGAGUGUUUCGAGUGCAGUCGUGCAGGAGGGUGGGCUAAGUGUCAGUAUGGUCUGUGUGAGAAGGCACAGGUGCGUAUAUGAUGAUAGAUAAGUGACACCAAACCCGUGUUUUUUUUAAAGCAGUCCUGCUACUUUGUUUAAAACCAAACAGACCCCGUGUAUAUGUGUAUGUUUCGUGUGUGUAUAUCGGAGUAUACUUAGGAGACGCCCAUCUCGCCCCCGCCCCCCCCUUAAAGUGCCUUAAAACACGCCCACACGCCCAUAUUGUGAUCGCCCGCGGUGUCGGCGACACAGGCGUGCCCAAAAGGCUCUAUGUUGACAACGAUGGUGGCCGGGCCAGGACCGACCUAUUACAUAGACGGGUCCACGCCCCACGCCCACUCUGCUGACAUGAUGCACCACCACCACCAUCACCAGCAGCUUGUGUCUGCCGGCGGCGGCGGCGGCGGGGUCCCCCAGCAGACCACUAACGGGGCCAGCAGCAGCAGCAACAGCAGCAGCCCCACGGCUAACGGCACUCCGGCCAGCAGCAGCAGCAGCAGCGUGGAGGGUGGCGUCCAGCAGCAGCAGCAGCAGCAGCAUCACCACCAUCACCAUCACCACCAGCAGCAGUACACGCCCCCGCCUAUGGCUCAGGGGCCUCCGCCCCCCUACUGUCCCCCGGAGUACUUCACAGGGGACGCCUAUUACCCCGGCCCGCCCCCGGAGUACUGUCACCACCAUCACCCGUCACACCUGUGUGCUGUCCACGGGGUUCCUGCACCAGGUAACGUUUGUCACGGUGGUUGGCCAAUCUAUUUGAAAGGAACAAACGAAGGUCCGGCCAGUGUGCGGAUGGUGUCGACGAACUCGUCGCCGCCCAUACCGCUGCCCGUGCAGGUGCCGCCGGGGCACGUCGUGCAGCAGAUCGUGGACGAGACGGGUACCCUCAGGCACGUCAUCCUCUCUGCCCAGCCCGUGCCCAUGCCCAUGUGCCCAUAUGGUCCAAAUGCAGGCCAAGGUCCACCCCAGUUCUAUGGGCCGCCACCUGGUCCUCCACCCCAGGGCUAUGUGCCACCUUACCAGCCUCCACCACAGUACCCUCCCGUCAUGUCACCACCCCUUGCACAACCAUCACCGCCACCUAUUUAUACCCAAAAGCCAGACCGCCACAUGCGUCUGUAUGAUAAGCAAAGACCCAAGUAUUACCCGCGGCAGCAACACCAACACACCACCAAAUCUGGGACCAGUAGCCUACACAGUACACCUCCACUCUCUCCGAAGAAAGAACCACUUACAAGAAAGAAUGGUGCAGAGGAGGAGGUUCACACAGAGGAUGGGGAGGAUCCUAGCAGUAGUCUUCAGCACCUCCUAUCUCAGGUUAAACCACCCAAGGUAAUUGAUGUAACACCCCAUGAAGCCAUUGUCCAGUGGUCUUCUCCCGAUUUAAGUGGCCAGCACGAAGAUGUGCCGGUCUCUGAAUUGCUGUAUGAGGUCUUCCUAAAUAACAACUUGUACUUGUCCGUCUCGGCUACACAGCUUACUAUUAGCGGACUUAAACCUGCUACCGAGUACAGGGUUUAUUUUGAGUGUUUAUGUGGCAGUGUGCGCGGGGACUCUAGUGGCGUUACCGUGUUCCACACACACUCUACUCUGCCCGAUGCUCCAUCACUACCUAGAAUGAUUCAAAAAUCAAAAACUUCUCUACAGUUUAGAUGGGGUCCUGCAAAAGAAAAUGGUUCUCGUGUGACUGCAUUUAUUCUCGAGUUGUGUGGCAAUAGUGGAGAUUGGACAGAAGUCUUCAGAGGACGGGGCAAGCAGCACACCAUUUCUAAACUUCAACCCCACACGCGCUAUCGUGUACGUCUUGCUGCAGUUAACGAACAUGGGAAGAGUGAAUAUAGUGCAGAGACUAUAGCUUUCACUAGUGGUGUGGUGCCUUCCCAGCCUGCCCCUCCAGUCUUGGAACAAGCUUCGGUUACGUCUCUAAGUUUAGGCUGGACGAAAAGACCUAUGGAAGAGACCUAUACUUUGCAGAUGGAAGAUUCAUUAAAUGGUUAUGGUUUCCGUCCGGUUUACAAUGGACGGGACACAAGAUUCACUUGUCAGGGGUUGAGGAGGAAUGCUGAUUAUAAGUUUAGACUAUGUGCUCAUAAUGAGGAAGGUGUCUCGCCAUUCUCUGAUAUUACCUGCUAUCCUACGCUGCCUGAUCGGCCUAAGCCGCCAUCGGCCCCUACGGUAAAAGGCCGCCCUAAGUCUACAAAGUUGACACUUGCCUGGUCUUCACCCACUGAUAAUGGAGGUUCUCCUGUAACUGGCUAUAGAUUAGAUAUUGAUCGUGGCAGUGGAUUUGAGUGUGUAUAUACUGGAGAAAGCACAGAGACAGAAUGUACAGAGCUUUGCCCAGGAGCAAGCUACCGUGUCAGGGUGCUGUGCGAGAGCUUGGGGGGCAUGAGCGACUGGAGUGAAACUACUACUGUGACCGCUGAGGCCGUAUGCCCGGGUGUAUGUCCAGCUCCUCGGUUAUUGGGCAAGCCAAAAGCAUCCUUAUUGCAGCUCAAGUGGGGUCAUCCAGAAUUUGAUGGUGGAUCGCCUGUGACAGAAUUCCGUAUUGACAUGAUGUCUCCAGACAGUGAUAGAAGACAAGUUUAUUGUGGACGAGAUCUUGAAUGUACUGUUGCCAGCCUCUUGCCUGGUCGACCAUACGUAUUCUUGGUGCGUGGUGUGAACCGCAUGGGUCCUGGGCCAUGGUCUGAACCGUUGGAAGUGGUUAGUGGUGCUGGUCCGCCUGAUGCUCCUCAUGCACCACAUCUAGCCUGUCGCAGCCCUUACUCAGUCCAUCUGGCCUGGGAAGAACCUAUAAACAAUGGAGCUGGCAUUGACCAGUAUAAUGUACAGAUUGCAGAGGUGUCGUGCCCUCAUGCAGAGUCUUCAGAGUCGUCGUCAACAUGCGGUGAUGUUGAGUCUGACCUGACAUUCAAUAACGCAUACACUGGGUCUGCCACUACCAGUGAAGUGCGUAACCUGGCUCCAGCUACCACCUAUGCCUUUAGAAUAUGUUGCAGCAACAGUGCUGGAGUUGGUCCUUGGUCAUCACACGCAACAGUGACUACUCCUGCGGCCCCACCUGCGCCAGUUGCCUACAUCUCCUCCUCCCCAGCUGCCACGGCUGUAACACUGCUUUGGGGAGAGCCAGCUAAUCACGGUGAUCCCAUCACUCAUUACGUGAUAGAAGUGGGUGAUAAGACAGUCACAACUCCAGGACCAGAAACAGAAUAUACGCUAAACGAUCUUCAGCCCGAAACUUUGUAUAGAAUACGAAUCCAGGCCAUGAACAGUGUAGGUCCUGGAGGCUUCAGUGGUAUUCACAAAGUGACAACUAGGCCCCUUCCUCCUGCUCCACCCACCUUAGAACUUGUUAAAGCUUCCUACAAUUCCCUCAAGAUCAAGUGGGGCGAUGGACGCAACUUGGACAUGCUGACCUACUCUUUACAGAUGGAAUUCACUAAUCCUCAUAAUGGUACCAGAGAGUUUUAUCAAGUAUACAGCGGUACAAACCAGAACUAUAAAGUGGUGAGGCUGGAAGAAAACACCGAGUACCGUCUUCGUAUCUGUGCCAGUAAUGAGGCGGGUGUCGGGCCUUAUUCUGCGGUGGCUCAUCUUUCAACUACUAAAGCUCCUCCUCCUCCCCUUAAAGCUCCCCGUGUAACAGAGAGUGCAGAAGGAAGCCACAUUGUUGAAUGGUGUAGUGUGCGUUGUCCAGGGGAAGACUCCAUCCUGUAUCGUCUUCAGGUGCUACAAGCUGGCAAGGAUCAGGAUUAUUACGUGGCAUACACUGGAGGUGAAACUUCAUAUGCACUGACUGGUUUGGAGCCUCAUACUGGCUACUAUGUGCGUGUUUGUGGUGUGAGAGUAUGUGGAGAUGGAGAGACAAUGGCGGGUGCUUACUCUUCUCCAGCACUCUUCAACACCCCAAAACCUGCUCCAGUAACAUCUACAAAAACUGCUGCAAACACCACCCAGGAGGUGGGUCUGCAGUGGCACAAUCUCAGUGAUCAGCAGAAGGCUGCUGCUAUUCUGGUAGUGUUUUCUCUCUUCUGUGCUGUUGCUGCCAUUGGGUUGCAGCACUUCUUGGCUCCUGAUGCUGGACGGUAACCCAGCGACGAUGCAUAAUUUCGGGUGUUUAUUUUUGUGGAAACUAUCAAGUUUAAUUACUGCAAUGUUGAUGCCGAGAGCAUGAGACCCACAAGUGAGAGCCGAGGCAUCGUGUGGUUGGUGCACAAUGACUGUGCACAACUAGCUUAUGUACCUCUAGAUGCGCUCUGAUCAAAGGUGCAGGUACUGUAUAGCUCGAAAAUUGACAGGCCAUCGUGAAGCCCUUUGGCCUUGUGCUCCCGUACAAGCGGUCUCUGAAUUUCCCCAAAUGUUCCAGGUAAAUCACACAUUCCGUGAACUGAAAUCUCCACAUUCAGAUGUUCAUUUCUAGUUUAAGUUACAAACACAUUGUAAUAAUGGACCAAAAUAGCUGCCACUGAUAGUAUUUGUAUACCCCAUACGUACUUAGGAUGGAACUGAUAUCCCUUGUAAGCAUUUAAAGCAUGGCACCUGGAUUCAGUUGACUAAUCAUUUCCACUGCCUCUGGAUGCUAAUUGUUGCAACACUGGUGCUCAAUAGUGGUUGGUGUGGUGUUCCUGUGCUGAAGUGUGAUGCUCGGGUCACAUCUGGUUCAGUAGCGGCGCUGCUUUAAACUCAUGUUAGAUAUCACAGUAUUUUUCCGUGUGCUUUAUACCUGUCGGUGCAAUAAGUGGUGGAUACUUUGUCAACAGUAUUUAGCUCCAGGGCAUUAUUUUCUCUUGGUGGAUGUUGAGAGAAGCUUGGAUGACUUAAAUACAUUCAUUUAUGCUUCUUGAAACAUUUCUUAUAAUUUUUUUUAUCCAUUAACAGGAGGGUUAUAGGACAAAUAUCUUUCAAUUCCUUAAUGCUAAAAUAAAAUUUUAUUAUGUAAUAUAUAUAUAUAUAUAUAUAUUAUAUAAAAAAUUAGUAUAUUAGUAUAUUUUGGGAGCAGGUUUUUUCUAAUACAUAUGCCCUUAAACACAACAGCAUUGUGACUUACUAUUAAUUUUCUUUAGGAUAUUUUCCAUUCUAUGUGAAUAUCUUCUAACAUCUGGAGGGUUGAAGAAACGUUAGAUCACUUAAUCUUUCCAUUUUUAUUGUUCGACGUUUCGUCAGCAAUGUGACAUCUUCAGGAGUACACUAUGUUGCACUAACUCGGCUAUACUGAGCUUACAAGGAUGUUGUUGGUUUUUAGAUUUAGCUAUUCUGAACAAAAGGUGCAAGUAGCACAAGCUAUGGUGAGCCCAUAGUGGGUUUACCUGGCACUGGAGUGGGGCUGGAACUGAAUGAACUGGAACAUUCAGUUCCUUACAAGGAGAAAUCUAGACUUUUAUAAGUGUGGGUACACCCUACUCUACUAUUCACCUAACCACCUUAAUUGUAGGGCGACGCGAAGGGUAGGGCGAGGUGAUUGUUGCCCGACUUGGUCUUCUAGCUGUCCGCCAUUGUCCGCCAAUGUACGUCUUACAUUUUCUGUCUGGAUCAAUGGAAGGCCAUCGAACAUAUGUAUACUUAAAGCUGAAUUCAUCUGGAUGUUGAUUACUGGUGUCGGCUUCUGAAUCAAUUGGGCUGGACGGUAGAGCGACGGUCUCGCUUCAUGCAGGUCAGCAUUCAAUCCCUGACUGUCAAAGUGGUUGGCCACCAUCCCAUCCCAAAUCCUUAUUCUGACAACUUCCAAGUGCUAUGUAGUCAUAAUGGUUUGGUGCUUUCUCCUUAGUUUCCUUCCCUUCCCGAAUAAAUACAGUCUCAAGCGCAUGAAGCCUCCUACAAUCACUAGCACAGAUGAUCGUAGGAGGCUUCGUGUGUGUGUGAAGCUGUGUUAAUUCGGGAGCUGACACCAGCAAUCAACAUCCAGAUGAAUUCAGCUUCACUCAUACAACUCUUAGAUGGUCCUCCGCUGAUCCAGAGGGAAAAUGUAAGACCUACAUUGGCGGACAGCUAGAAGACUGAGUCGGGCAACAAUCACCUCUCUCUACCCUUUGCUGCUCCCUACAAUUAAGGGGGUUGGGUGAAUAGUAGAGUGGGGUGUAUCCACUCUUAUAAAUGUCUAGAUAAAAUGUCCAAUAAAGAUGGAAAGAAUAAGUGAUCUAGUGAUUCUUCACCCUCUAGAAGGUAGAAGAUAUUUGCAUAGAAUGGAAAAUAUCCAAAAGAAAAUUAAAUCACAAUGCUGUGGUGUUUAAUGAUGU